rnacentral:rRNA from 1 species
AUGACAUGUUCCAUAUAUGGCAUACAAAUUCAGAGUUAUUCUCCCCGCAAAAAUAAAAAAUUAAAAAAAUUCAGAGUUAUUCUAUCUUCUUCUAGCAUUGGCAGAUUCAGUCAAGCUUCUGAAUUUGCGCAAGCAUCGACAGGUCGAGUGACUGCAUAUGAUUGUUUUUGUUGCCUUGUUCUAGUCGGUGACACGAGCAUCUUGGUGUUGCAGCACCACCACUCCACACGUGCUUCCUCACAACACAUUCCUUGGUGGCGCUGCAUCUGUAGAAACCCCUGCACUAUUAGUUCAUACUGA